GCCAGUGUGUGUGUUUCUUUGCCUGAUGGCUUUCUAGAAACUGUGAGCUGCCACUCUGCCUGUGCACAUGAAGGAAUUACAUGACUAUUGCAAGCUAGUGUGUAAAUAGCCCAGCUCCAUGAAUGAGAUAACAUGGAGGUGUGCAUUCUUUGCCAGUGCUACUUGAAGUGUGGUCCCUAGACCAGUGACAAGCUGUGAAAUGUUUAUUGCUUGUACAUUUCAAGACUCCAAUGUGUCAGAGAAGAAAGGAAGACCCAGAAACAGCCAAGGAGAGGGGCUGAGGAAUGAGAGAUGAAGGAGACAACAGAUUGUCCUUCUCAUUGCCAAACCUUAGAGUGGGCCCGAGGGGAUUGGACUGGGAAAUUAAAGGUUCCUGGAAGGUGAUUACUUUGAGGCACAGAGAGGUCAAGGCCUGUCCAAGGUCACACAGCUAAUGAACGGGAGAGCCUGGAUUCAAAACCCCAGCAGUCUGAUUGAUUGAUGCCAGAGCCAUAUUCUCAAUCAUGCUUUGAAAGGCAACUCCCAUUCCCAGUCCAGUCAAGAAUUCAAAUUGUUUCUACAGACCUGAAAAUCAUUUUAACAGUACCCAUUUCUGU